UGUGUGUGUGUGUGUGUGUGCAUGCGUGUGUGUGUGUGUGUGUGUGUGUGUGUGAGACACACACACACACACACACACACACACAUACACACACAAAGAUACACACACACAC